CAGUCGCCACGGUAAUACGAAGGGUGCAAGCGUUACUCGGAAUUACUGGGCGUAAAGCGUGCGUAGGUGGUGGUUUAAGUCCGUUGUGAAAGCCCUGGGCUCAACCUGGGAAUUGCAGUGGAUACUGGGUCACUAGAGUGUGGUAGAGGAUAGUGGAAUUUCCGGUGUAGCAGUGAAAUGCGUAGAGAUCGGAAGGAACAUCUGUGGCGAAGGCGACUAUCUGGGCCAACACUGACACUGAGGCACGAAAGCGUGGGGAGCAAACAGGAUUAGAUACCCCCGUAGUCCCUGUCUCUUAUAU
rnacentral:rRNA from 1 species